rnacentral:rRNA from 1 species
AUUGAACGCUGGCGGCAGGCCUAACACAUGCAAGUCGAGCGGAUGAGGGGUGCUUGCACUCCGAUUCAGCGGCGGACGGGUGAGUAAUGCCUAGGAAUCUGCCCGAUAGUGGGGGACAACGUUUCGAAAGGAACGCUAAUACCGCAUACGUCCUACGGGAGAAAGUGGGGGCUCUUCGGACCUCACGCUAUCGGAUGAGCCUAGGUCAGGAUUAGCUAGUUGGUGGGGUAAAGGCUCACCAAGGCGACGAUCCGUAACUGGUCUGAGAGGAUGAACAGUCAAACUGGAACUGAGACAGGGUCCAGACUCAUACGGGAGGCAGCAGUGGAGAAUACUGGACAAUGGGCGACACACUGAUCCAGCCAUGCCGCGUGUGUGAAGAAGGUCUUCGGAUUGUAAAGCACUUUAAGUUGGGAGGAAGGGCUGUAAGCGAAUACCUUGCAGUUUUGACGUUACCGACAGAAUAAGCACCGGCUAACUUCGUGCCAGCAGCCGCCGUAA